rnacentral:rRNA from 1 species
GACGAACGCUGGCGGCGUGCUUAACACAUGCAAGUCGAACGGAAAGGCCCUGCUUUUGUGGGGUGCUCGAGUGGCGAACGGGUGAGUAACACGUGAGUAACCUGCCCUUGACUUUGGGAUAACUUCAGGAAACUGGGGCUAAUACCGGAUAGGAGCUCCUGCUGCAUGGUGGGGGUUGGAAAGUUUCGGCGGUUGGGGAUGGACUCGCGGCUUAUCAGCUUGUUGGUGGGGUAGUGGCUUACCAAGGCUUUGACGGGUAGCCGGCCUGAGAGGGUGACCGGCCACAUUGGGACUGAGGUACGGCCCAGACUGCUACGGGAGGCAGCAGUGGGGAAUAUUGCACAAUGGGCGGAAGCCUGAUGCAGCAACGCCGCGUGCGGGAUGAAGGCCUUCGGGUUGUAAACCGCUUUAGCCUGUGACGAAGCGUGAGUGACGGUAAUGGGUAAAGAAGCACCGGCUAACUACGUG